rnacentral:lncRNA from 1 species
GGAGCAAACAUUGGUUUAGGCACUUGUAAAAUAGUGUAAUUUUGGAAAAUGGUAGUUGAUUUUGUGAGAAAUUUUGUGCUUAGAACUUGGAAUUUGGUCUCCAAUCCGAAAGUUCCGUGUACAAAAUCAAGCAUGGAUUCCAAAGAGGUCGCACAAAUUUUGGUUUCUCCUUCGAUGGGAGGAACUUCGCAAUGAUUCAGGGUCCCUUCCAUGGCUUUGGCUAGGGAUGAAUCAUCUGAGAACGAGAAGAAUUGAAGAAGGUAAGGCAGUUGUUUCAAUGAAAAUGGAAUGGAAUCUGCUUCUUCUCUAGGCAAAGCCUGAGGAUAAGCUGAAGGAUCUCUCUUGCGAAAAUAAAUCGGCAUCGUUUCGCCAAUCUUUAGAUCCUUCAAGGCCAUCGUUGAAGGGUCCAUGUGAUUCAUGUGGGAUGGUAUUGAAUGAGAAUCAUGAAGAUUCUCCGAAAGCACCUGAGCACACUGUAAAACAGUUGAGCAAUUCAAUAUCACAACAUAGAUGAAAAAUCAACAACACAAGUUCUAUAAAGUGUAAAACUGAAGGAGCAAAAUAUAUCUUUUUGAGUUAUUGCUUUAAGACAACACUUAUGUACAUGUAUUGCAAAGUAAGCCACUUAAUUAGCACACAUUGAGGAUUAUUACCAGAAAGAGUAGAGAAAGAAGGAGGUUCCAAGCUGAAAAUCGUAACCCCAUCUCUUUUCUAUUAUCGAAGUUUGUUAUAUAUUUUAGUAAUCUUUUUUUUUUCAGGGAGAAGAAACACAGAUAACAAGUGAAGCAGAAAGAGAAGAGAUUGUGUGACUGUAUAUGUCAACAACCAAAUGAUGUGUGUUGAUUUUCAAGUGGACAUUUAUAGCCUGCAUAAGCUGAACUUGUUCUACUGUGCUGAUUAAUUGAAUCACAACACAGUUUGAAUAAUGACCUUAAUAGUCCAAUCCAGCAAAGAAUUCAGCACUCCAAUCAUUUGGGGACACACGUAUUGCACCUUCAUCAGGUCUGCGGAUUUUAAUAGUUUUGACUGAGUGAAUGAUUACUUCAAUUGAUAACAUUGCAUAUUAGAUUACCAGACCUAAAAUUGAUUUCUUAUUAAAAAAUUUACUUGCAAUUUGGAAACUCUCUUUGACACAUUAAUUACAGACUCGAAAUCUGUAUCAAUAUUCCCCAUACAUAGACAGAACUGAGCAUAAAAAGUGGGAAGGCAGAUCGUAAACAAAUUCGACAUGGUAGUUUCCAAGGAUGAAUAGCAUUUUUUUCAUUCAAAAAUGGGAUAAUAUAUCCUUCAGUCACGUAAUGUACACUAAGGCGGCGUUUGGUUGGGAGGAGAGAACAAAGAAGAGGAAAGUAAUUUAAAUUUUCUUUUUAUUUUCAUUGUUUGGUUUGAUAAAAUAUAUAAGAAUUUAAUUUCCAUUAGAAUUUAAUAUCCAUCAUAAUUUGAAUUCCACACCAAGUAGUGAAGAAUUUAAAUUCCUCUUAUGUUAGAAACUAAAGUUUCCAAAAUUACCCUUCAACUUGUUUAAUGUCAUUAAUAAUUAUUAUUUAAUAUUAUAAAUGGAUCACCGCCGGAAAGUCGCCGGACUACCGCCGGAAAGUCACUGGAAAGUUACCGGGCCACCUCGGAAUGUUGCCGGAAAGUCACCAGACCACUGCCGAAAGUUGCCGGACGUCGCCAAAAUCCUGCCGAACGUUGCCAUAAGGUAGUUUCCAAGGAUGAAUAGCAUUUUUUUUUCAUUCGAGAAUGGGAUAAUUUAUCCUUCAGUCACGUAAUGUACACUAAAGCUCUUCUCAACCUAGUGUGCGUCGGAUAUGUGAGCGUCGGGGCUCCAAUCUCCCGUACAAUCUUUAAAAUUUUGUUUGGUCAAAUUAACAGGCUGCACUCACUGUAUUUCCAUGGAUCACACUACUUCAACUAAAAGAUAAGAUAAUAAGUAUCUUUAGGAUUUUACUGAAUGAUUUUUAAGUAGUUUUUAUUAAUUAAUUAUUCAAAUUCGAAUUAAAAAAAGACUAAAAAAUUCAUCUGAAUUUUUCUCACUCCCAAUCUUUAAAAAUAAAACAAAUAAUAAGUCAUAUAAACAAUAUUUUAAAUGCAAUUUUCACUUCAAACAUAUUUCAUUUGAAGUUUAAUUAUAUUCUCCGAUGGAACCUGGAUAAGUUGAAAAAAAAUUUAUUAAUAAAAAAAAUGUACAUCUAAUUGUCUAACGAUGGGUCAAGAACAAAAGGUUAAAAGAUAAUAUACGUGGACAUGAUAAUGCAGAAACCGAAAAUCAAAAGGGCACGAGUUUCAAAUGCUAGACAAAUGAAAGAGACGUGUGAUUGCAGGUCGAUUUUCUUCUCAUCACUAGCCACUAGUGUUGUGCGCGGAAUGCGGAAUCAAGCGCACCAAAUAAUUAUUGAAAAAUAAAGGACACAAGAAUUUACGUGGUUCGGUAAUUAAACCUACAUCCACGGAGACAAGAAAGAAUAAUUGUUUAUUUAACAAUUAAUAGAAUACAAUAUUUGAGUAACGAAUCUCACUUCCCAGAAAACCCAAAUAUACCCAGUACUCUCACACUCUGCAAGAAAGAUAAAUUCCCCAGACACACUUCUCUCACUUCUCUCAAAAGCUUAGAAACUUAUAAGCUUGACAAUUUUGGGAUGAUUUCAAAUGAAUGAAAUCCUUAGCUAUUUAUAGACUUGAAGCUAGUAUUAUUCCACCUAACCCAAGUACUAUUUCACCUAACCCAAGCACUAUUCCACCUAACCCAUGCAAAUAUGUCAAUGGUGUCCAUUUGGCAAAUUUGACAAAUUUGCCAACUUUCCAUUUUUUCUUCAAAUGUUUGGUAGCUCUUUGAAAAAUUGCCACAUGCAUGACUUUUCAACAAUUCUCCACCUCGGCGAAAAUUUGUCCAAAUCUGAGCCGACUACCAACGAACCCUCAUCCCCAAAGUGAUCCUUCAAUAAGGAUCCAGAAUGACUGUGUCGAUUCGACUGUCUACGUACCCAAAAUUUGGGAUCAAGCCAACCGUAGUUCAAAAAUUCUCCAAACUCAACGCAUUCGAAGAAUUAGUUUCAAUCCGUAUAAAGAUUUACUCAAUCUGCACACACGAUUUUCCUUUCCAGCAACUCUGAAACCACAAGGCUGAAUCAUAUAGAUUUUCUCCUCUAAAUCUCCAUGUAAGAACGCCGUCUUAACAUCCAACUGAGCUAACUCUAACUCAUAUUCUGCAACUAAGGCAAGUAGGAUACGAAUGGAAGUAUGUUUUACAAUUGGAGAGAAAACUUCAUUGUAGUUCAUACCUUCCUUUUGAGCAAAACCUUUUGCCACGAGCCUUGCCUUGUAUCGAGGAGUUGUUUGAUUCGGAGAUCCUUGCUUUUUGGUGUAGACCCAUUUAUUGCCAAUAGCCCUUUUCCCCUUUGGUAACUUUACAAGUUCCCAAGUCUGGUUUUGAUGGAGAGAUUUCAUCUCUUCCUCCAUGGCUAGCUUCCACUGAUCACUUUCAUUGCUGCGUAAUGCUUCACCGAAAGUAUUGGGGAUGUCAUCAUCAAUAACUGAAAGUGCAUAGGCUACCACCAUAUCUUUAGUAAGCCAUCCGGGUUUUUUUAUCUCUCUUUUUGGCCUCCUUGUUGCUAUAAAAUCAUCAUCAUCUACAUCAUCAAUUGUUUUUUCAUUUUGUGGGACAUCAGAAGAAACAACCUCUUCUUCAACUUUAGGUGUCACCUCCAUAGUUGAACCAUUCUUUGAUGUAGAACUAACUUGUACAUAUGGAGUUGCAUCAAACUCCACCCGCUGCAAUACCUCUGUGGUCUUGUUCUCCACCUGCUGAGAACUUGAAGCUUUUAUCAUUGAAGCUUCAUCAAAUGUGACAUCUCCGCUACACACAAACUUUUUGUCUUCGAGAUCCCAAAGCUUGAAGCCCUUUACUCCACCUUUGAAUCCCACAAAGAUAGAUUUUUUAGCACGAGGAUCCAGUUUACCAUCUUUGACAUGAUAAUAAGCUGGACACCCGAAUACACGAAGGGAAUCAUAGUCUUGUGCAUGCUUUCCAGACCCCAUUUCCAUAUGAGUUUUACCUCCAAUUGCAGCAGAAGGCAACCGAUUUACCAAGUGACUUGCGUAGCUCACAGUUUCAGCCCAAAACUUUUUAUCUAAACCAGCAUUAGAUAACAUACAUCGUACCUUCUCCAGUAAAGUACGAUUCAUACGCUCAGCCACACCGUUCUGUUGCGGAGUAUGUCUCACCGUGAAAUGUCUUUUAAUACCCUCGUUCUGGCAUACUUGCAAGAAUGGAUCAGAAGUAUAUUCACCCCCAUUAUCAGAUCGUAAUACUUUGAUCUUUCUGCCAGUUUGAGUCUCCACCAAUUUCUUCCACUUCACGAAAAUCUUUAGAACCUCAUCCUUUGCUCGCAUGGUGUACACCCAUACACGUCUAGAGAAAUCAUCAACAAAUAUAACAAAAUAAUGGCUUCCACCAAUUGAUGCAGUCUUGGUUGGUCCCCAUACAUCACUAUGAACAUAUUCAAGGAUCUCACGAGUAUCGUGAUUAGCUGUACCAAACUUGACCCUUGUUUUCUUGCCUACUACACAAUGCUCACAGAAAUUUAAUUUACAGGUUUUGGUACCUUUUAAGAGUCCAUGCCUCAUCAGAGUUUGCAAAGACUUCUCUCCUGCAUGUCCCAGUCGUACAUGCCAUAGCUUGGUGGUGUCACUGUGCGCCUCAACAACAUUUGCUUCAUCAGUUGUACCUCUCUUCAAAUAGUACAAAUUGUGACGCCGAACCCCUUGCAGAAUCAUCAUAGCCCCAUGUGUAAACUUCAUUGUGCCAUCUUCAAUGGUAACUUUGUAACCUUUAGCUUCCAAAGCACCCACAGAAAUUAGAUUUUUCUUUAUCUCUGGAACAAAUCUAACCUAUUUGAGUUCUCUGACCAUUCCAUCAAACAUUUUGAGCCGAAUUGUUUCUAUCCCCAUUGUGCGACAAGGUUGAUUAUUCCCCAUCAUAACUGCACCGGAUUCCAGAUUACGAAAAUCCGUAAACCAUUCCUUAAUAGGACACAAAUGAUAGGUUGCUCCAGUAUCAAGUGUCCACUCACUCGAACUAGCCACGUAUGCUGCAGGAGUAAUACUUAGUGAAUAAUCAGAGUUCUCAUCUUUCCGUGCCAUGUUUGCUGCUGCUGGUUUCUUCCCAUCUCUCUUUUGAGCCUUUGGACAAUCUUUUCUCCAAUGACCCUUUUCAUGAAAAAAGGCACACUCAUCUCGAGCUAUAUUUCUGCUUCUUGAUUUGGAUCAAGAAUUCAUUCCACCACGGUUCUUCUGUUUCUCCAUCGCCCAAUCUCUGCUCACCAAAGCUUCAGACGAUGCUCGUUCAGAAUUUUUAUCAUUAUUCUGAAUCUCCAAACUAGUCAAUGCUGUGCAAACAUCUUUAAAGACGAUCACACUCUUCCCAUAUAUCAAAGUAGUCACAAAAUGGCUAUAUUCCUCUGGUAGUGAGUGUAACAGAAUCAUAGCCUUAACUUCAUCUUUAAUAUCUUCAUCAAGAUUCUUCAAAUCAGCAAGUAACUUUUCAAAUCUUGAAACAUGAUCGUGCAUUGACACCCCAGGCUUCAUUCGAAAACCAUAUACUUGGCUCAUUACAUGAAGGCGAUUUUCAGGACUUUUCACCAGGUACUUCUCCUCCAAUGUACGCCACAAAGUCACCGCACACUCCUCAUCUUUCACCAAGUAUUUCACCUCCUUGGUCAAACAAGAUCUGAUAUGACCACAAGUUUUUUCGUUCAUACGAUCCCAAAUUUCUUCAUCAUACAAGUGCCUUUUAUUUUUUAGAACAACAUCGAGAUCGAUUUGAAUAAGGGCAUCCAUAACUUCGCGCCUCCACAUGCCGAAGUUGAUUUUCCCAUCAAACUUUUCAACAUCGAUCUUUUGGCCUCCUAUAACAUGUGCUGAAUAGCGAUUUGAUAAAUCUCGCCUCCCACCUGAAGUGUCUCCUGAAAUAGUCUCGGUAGAUAUCUCCCUAAUUCUGGAAGUUUCACCUUCUACCAUUUUCUCAACGAACUAUUUCCACUUAAAAAACAGUCUCUAUGAUGUUAAUUUCGCGUGAAUAAAUGCACCAGGAAAGUUCCCAGGAAACUGGACGGGAACUCGGUCCCAAUUAAAAACCAGAAUCCUUAGACUCUUAUCGCCUUUUUUGACAGAACUUUCCUAGACAUGCAAAAAUACACACUACUUACAAUAGACUGUCUCCCAAGUACAAAUGGCCGUCUCCACCGUAUUCGUAAAUAGUGCCGUAUAUGUGAACAGUACCGUAUACGUGAACAAUACCGUAUACGUGAACAGUACUGUAUCCCCCAAGUACGAACCGUCGGCUCUGAUACCACUUGUUGUGCGCGGAAUGCGGAAUCAAGCGCACCAAAUAAUUACUGAAAAAUAAAGGACACAAGAAUUUACGUGGUUCGGUAAUUAAACCUACAUCCACGGAGGCAAGAAAGAAUAAUUGUUUAUUUAACAAUUAAUAGAAUACAAUAUUUGAGUAACGAAUCUCACUUCCCAGAAAACCCAAAUAUAUCCAGUACUCUCACACUCUGCAGGAAAGAUAAAUUCCCCAGACACACUUCUCUCAAAAGCUUAGAAACUUAUAAGCUUAACAAUUUUGGGAUGAUUUCAAAUGAAUGAAAUCCUUAGCUAUUUAUAGACUUGAAGCUAGUACUAUUCCACCUAACCCAAGUACUAUUUCACCUAACCCAAGCACUAUUCCACCUAACCCAUGCAAAUAUGUCAAUGGUGUCCAUUUGGUAAAUUUAACAAAUUUACCAACUUUCCAUUUUUUCUUCAAAUGUUUGAUAGCUCUUUGAAAAAUUGCCACAUGCAUGACUUUUCAACAACUAGCACACAUCCCCUUAAUCAAAAUCUUUUUCAAUAUUGUUUAUUAUAUAAAUGGAUAUUGGUAGUGGUUGAACUUCUAUUAUUUAAUUAUGUUGUCAUUUUCCAUCACUACAACAACAGAUGAUUCAAGUAGGAUCGAUCAAUAAUUGUCGCCCAAUGUUUUGUCUUUUUCAUAAUUUAGUUAUUUUUGUUCAUAUGUCUGACGAAGAAGUUUUAAUUUUGCAAGAGGAAUUCAAGUUGAUAAGACCUUGUCGACUUGUCUUCUGCUGAAGAAUCUUGAAUAAUCAUGCCAAAUUCAAAAAGUGGCAAAAGCAAAAGGCUAAGUUCUUAAUGAAUUCAAUAUUAUUACGAAUUUGGUGCUAGCUCAAUCUUGAAAAUGAUCCAAAAAUUAAAAAGUAAACAUAUAAUAAUCACAUCUACAAAUGUACAUUAUUAGUGAGUCAUUGAUGAUAUCCCAUCACGAAUUCAUUAGCUGACUAAUUAAAGAUACCACGAAAAUAUUAUAUCAUUAGCUGGUCUAAAAAAGUAGUCAAUAAGAAAAUGAAAGGUAAAUUCAUAAAUUUCAGCCGGAAUUUUUUUUUUUUUUUUUAAAAGGACCAAUAAUUGUAGGAAAUGGCUAGCUUCUUAUCCUCUUCACAAAAGAUUAAAUCCUCUUGAAAAGGUUUGUUACUGAAAUACAUAUCAUAUUACACCAACACUCUCUAUUACCAUAUGAAUUUAGAUCUUCCCCUAACUUAAUAUUUCAUAUAAUAUUGUAGGAAUAAUCUUCAUCACCGGAGAUUAGGAUCUUCUCCUAACUUAAUAUCUCAUAAGUGUUGUAUGAGAUUAUUUAGCUCAUGUCAUUAUAUUUUUCUAAAGCUAGGAUUUAAUUUACUUUAUACUUUCCUUAUUAAACAUUAAAACCAAUAAUUUUCUAGGCUAAGUAAAACCAUGAAAUUCAAGUGUGCCGCUUUCUAACCAAACUGCUGCUUCUUUCUCUACCGUUUUUUUUUUUUUUUUUGGUCACAAACUUUAAACUGUGGUAUAUAUAAACUUGAGCAAAGAAGCAUUAUUGGUAGGAUUGGCAAUGAGACGGGAUGGGAUGAGAUUUACCAAUCCCACUCCCGUCCCGCAUAUAUAAUUGAGAUAAAAAAAUGUCUCACUCCCAUCCUUCAAUUUUUUUAUGGGACCAAAAUAUAUCCCAAUCCUGUCCCAAAUUGCCAUCCCUAAUUAUUGGCAAUUCAUUCUUUUAAGAAUUGUUUAUGUAAUGGAAUCAGACCAGAACAGAAUGCAUUAUUGUUCGAUAUACGUAGUCUACAAUAACAAUUGAAGACACCUGAAGAUAAUAUCAAUUAUAGACAAUUGUUAUUGCAAUAUAUUCAAUGCAUUGUUGCUAUCGCUUGUCUGCAAUUAAUUUUAUAUAAAUUAAGCUGAUAUAUCUCAUUUCAGUGUACUAAUAAUUAAGUUGAACGUUGAUGCAGCUACUGCUAUUUCCAGGAACACAGCUUUCUAGGAGCCAUUAUUCGUAAUGUGAGAAGGGAGAUUAAUUAUGGCAGUAGCUAUCUAAAGUAAAAUUUUGGAGAUCUUGAAUUCGCAGAAGCAGAAGCAAUGAGAUUUGGGAUCGAAAUAUGCAAACGGCACAGGUCUAUUUCCAUUCAUUAUUGAAUCAGAUACUAAGAAUGUUGUCAAUCUUGCUGCAGCACUUGAAAGUACUAGAAAAGAGAUUCUUUGAGUGAUAUAUCUCUGAUAUUUAAUUGUUGGCUAGACAACUGGCAAUUUCAAAUUUGUAUUCAUUCCUAGAAUAUGUAACGUGGAAGUUCAUAGAUUAGCUAAACUUGCAGUUAGCGAUCAGAAAGCCGUAUUGUUUGGAUUGAGAAUAUUCCUAUAGAUGUAAAAUCUUAUCAUUUUUGAAGAAUUUUUUACUUUGAAAAUAAAAUAAUUAAGGGCCAUCUCUAUCGUUGCGAAUUGUAACUCGUAGACUUUGCGGUCCACAUUAUGAAUUUAAAAUUCUUGCAUGAUUAAUCACCCACAUGAGCAUGCUCCCCCAACCUGCCACAUCAUGUUACCACUUCUUCCAAUCUGUGUAUACACACACACACACACACACACCAGUAUGGCCUCCAUGCAAAUCACAAACGCAGUAUCUAAUAUUGUUUGUCACUGGCAAGAAACAUGAAUAUUAAAGCCUUCUUUGUUCUCUCCACAGUGCUCUCAUUGCUUCUCUUGUUAUGUAUCAUUUGAUCAGUAAUAAUGUUAGGUUAAUCACAAAUUCAUUAUAUAAAAUAUUUUGUACAAAAUUGAUAACACAUAAUGUACAGUAUCGAUGUGAUAAGAACACCACACAACCCGAUCAUUAUUUUAUAUUUCCAUUCAACCAAUACUAUUUUAUCACAUCAGCUUUAAGAGUAGCUUAAUUAUAGCUAGCUCUAGCAUUACUCGUUUUGAUUCAAAUGAUUUUCGAAUUUUUAUCAUUUGCAUGGUCAAUAUAUAGUUCCUCUCUCUUUUUUUUAUUUUUUAUUAAUUGUUUUCCUUGUGUGCAGUUUGCCAACAUGAUAGAUGCAAGAAAAUACCAUGGAGACGAUUGGAGUAUUGUCGUGAAAAAUCAAGACAUGCCUUGGGAAUCAACUCAAGGUCUCAUUCCCGAAGUUCAAGGCCCGACCAUCUCUAAAACCAAAGCCUAUUGCCAUACACAUGAUGAUUCUGAGCACACCAUGGAGAAGCCUUUUGUCAAUAAGAACUUUGAGCUGAUGCCUGAUGUUUCAAUCUAUGACAACGGUAUUAAGCCAACCAAACAAAAGGCUUUUGCCAAGCACUUCGAGUUCUUGCCUGAUGUUUCAAUUUACGACAACGGUAUUAAGCCAACCAAACAAAAGUUCUUCGCCAAGGACUUCGAGCUCAUGCCUGAUGUUUCUAUUUAUGACAAUGGUGUAAAGCUAGCCAAACAAAGGUUCUCCGCCAAGGACUUCGAACUCAUACCUGAUAUUUCAAUUUAUAACAAUGGUGUAGAGCUAGCCAAACAGAAGGCAUUCGCCAAAGGCUUCGAGCUCAUGCCUGAUGUUUCAAUUUAUGACAAUGAUAUUAAACCAACGAAGAAGAGUUCAUAUGCCAAGGACUUUGAGCUGAAGGCUGAUAUUUCAAUUCAUGAACCGACCGAACAAAAAUAGGUAAUUAGCAUUACGGAUCUGCAGCCAGAUGCUACAAUUUAUCAUAAUUAAAUAGAUGAUCAUGCUUGUAAUCAGGCGCAGGAUGGAGUCUCUUACCAUAUUUAAUGUUCUAGAAGAGUAGCCACAUACGUGCAAUAACGCUUUCCUUGUUUGUGUGUGUUGUCAAAAGCGCUGUUUCUAAAGUAAUGUAAUAAGUGCUGAAAUAACCCAUGCAAUAAAAUCAUGUCAUGCGUCUUUAAUUUUUUUUUUCUCUCUCUCUUAAACAAUCUUAUGAUAGAUUAUUUACAAGUUAUAAUUUAUAAAGAGAGAAACUAUAUUAAAAUAAUGCUUUUUACAUAAAUAUUCUAUCCAUUAAUCUCGUAUAGCUAAUUAAGUUUGUUUUUUUUUUUUUUAUUUACAACGACAUCCUUAGAUGUUUAAAUUGUUUUUUUUUUAAAGGUAAAAGGGUUGGGUCAAUCAAAAUUAAUUUUUUCACCCUGAUCUCUUUGAGAUUCGAACUUAGGUGGCUAGCUAACUAAGAUUAUUUGAAACCAUUCGGUUGGGUUUCUAGGGGCCUUGGAUGUUUAAAAUUUGUAUUUUGAAUUGUUAUUCAGAUGGAACAAUAUAAUUAACUUUAAUUUCAAAGUCAAUUUGACCCUAUUUAAUUUUGAGAUGCUGUUACUUUUAAACUAGCUACUUGGGAAAAAAAAAAGUCGUAACCUUAAAAUAAAAAGUGAUACUGUGUGGAAAAUAUGAUUUUAAAUAAUAAUUUUGACAAAAUAGCAAAGAAAUAUUAUUUAAAUUAUUAUUACCAGCCAAACAAAAAUAGGUUUUUUAUUAUACAAAUGCAAGAUCAAAUCAACUUAAUUUUUGAGUUACAACAACUACUACUUACUAAACACUUUGAUGUCAAUACCAAAUAGGCCUCUUUUUUCCUCUCCCUCUCUAAUUUGUAAGACUACCCAACCAUAUAUUGUAUAAUAUUCAAUUAUUAUAUUAACUAGUUUUAUUUUCUUAUGAUCACAUGAUAUCUUUUUUUUUUCAAGAAUCUGAACAGAUAAUGGUUUUAAAGCUCAGAAGUAGAUCUGAUUCUAAAUAUUUGGAAAUUGAAAAAAAAAAAAAACUAAUUCACAUUUGCAGAAGAAGGUAUGUACUUGAUAACUUGAACGCCAUGAUGGUAUAUAAUUAAAUUUAACUAUUGUUAUAUUUUUAUUUAUUAAUCACUAAUUAUUCACGAUGAAUUUUAUUUGAAUAAGUUCAUAUCAUGAUAGAAUCUUAAUUCAAAUACAUAUGAAAAAAAAAAUCUAUGACUGCACUAAUAAGAUAUUUCAUUUAAUCAUGUGAUAUUAAAAUGAAAAUUAUGAUAGAUAAACUUAAAUUUUCCAUUUUCCCCCCUUUAUCAUCUCACAUGGGCCACUUCAAUUCGCUGAAAUCCUGAUGCUUCGGCCUCCAGAUGUAAAAGAACAUGAGUCACAUAUAGUAUUGGUAGAUGCGUGAAUGGAUCACAUCUCACUCAACCAACAAAUUGCAUGUCAUCUGGAAAAUGAUUUAAAUAAAUGAACAAAUACUCAGUCCUCUAUUUUAAGUUAAGUAUUUGUUUAUUCCUUAUAUUUUAAAAAUAUCUCAAAAUAAGUUGUAGUUAAAUAUAUUACAUUCUUAAUCUUGUUUUUGCUUUGCUUUUAUAAUAAUGCCCUUAUAAUAAUAUUCUUGACAUUAAUUAAUUUAUCUAUAAAAUUUUAAUUAGAAAAUUAACCAAUAAUUAUUUAGUAAUAAAUUAACCAAUAAAUAUUAGUACAAAAGAACUAAUAUUUUUUGUACAUGUGCGACAAUCGUGCUAAUAAUUUAUUUAUAAAUAAAAUUAAUAUUAGUCAACUUAAAGUAAUGCUUAUCAUCCUUGCAAUAAUUUUACUAAUAAUUAUUUUAUAAAAAAUUAAUUUACCAAAUUAAUCCUAAAAGUAAAAUAAUAACAUAAAAAAAAAUUACUGUAAAAAUUUUUAUGCUACUUUGAAGGCUAAUUUGAUAAAGAAUGGAACUACUAGCACUCCUUCAAAAUCUUUUUAAGACCCCUUUUUAAAUACACCCAAUCAAAUAAAUGAAAAAUUAUAUCACUUCUAAAAACAACCAUCUUUAUUCCACAAUUGUCCUUCAAUCUUAUCUCUCAUAAAAUGAUAAAAUUACAAAAAUAAAAAUCUUUUUGUGGAUACUAUUGCAAUAAUGAUCAUUAGCAUUCUUCACAAAUUUGAUUAACAAGUAUGGAAUGGUAUGUAACUUUAGAUUUCUAAAUUUUAACUUUUCUUUAUGUUUUGCAACAAAUAUACCUUCUAUUUUAAUAUAUGAUACCUAUUAAUUUAAUUUUUUUCAAAUAACAAAACUCACUUGUUCAAACAAACAAUGAGACCAAAAAAAGCAAGGGAAAAAAAGUGAACAAAUAAAAGGUAGAACUACUUGACACAUAAAAACUUUAAAAAAAAAUGAAAAAGAAGAGAUCUAGUAAAAGAAGUAUGAGUAUAAAAUAAGCCAGGCAAUGAAAGAAUCAUAGCUUUUCGACAAAUUCCAUGUCAAUGUCCUUUUGGAAUAAAUUUUUAAUGUUAUCUAUUUGAAUAAUGAUGGUGGUUGAGUUUCCACUUUCCAUUAUGCUCUCGAAUGUAAGCUUCUGAUGCGUCUUCUAAAAUAAUUCUAGAUAUUUUAUUUUAAAUUUAUUUGAAUUUGUAAGUUACCCUUUUAAUUGCGGUUAUCAUGUAAACAAUUGUUGCCAAAUCAUAAACAAAAUCCUGAGUAGGGACGAUAAUGGGACGGUUUUGAUCGAUGAUCCACUUAAUCUAAAUCUAAAUUUAUCAUAUUUGGAUCAGUAUAAAAUGAAUUUGGAGUGGGUACAUAUGAAUCUAGAUGAGUAAAUUCAAAACAAAUUUAAAGCACGUAUACAAAUCUAACUUAAAAUUCGGAUCCGUAUCCAUAUCUAAUUAGAAAUCUUUUAAUUUUAUUUUAUUUUUAAAAGUAUUAAACUAUCGAUGGUUUAAUACUUUUACAAUCAAAUUAAACUUAUACCUAGCUUACUGAAAUCAAUACCACAUUUAUGAGAUGCAAUAUAUUAUCAGUUUUAUAUGAAAUUCAAAGUAUUAUUUUUAAUUUUAUUUAAGAUGAAUUAUGUGUUUUAGUUGAUAGUAAGACGUUUUUUUCUCAAAUAUUUUUGUGCUCUUAUUAUUCUUAUGAGGCUUGAAAGUUUAAUAAGAUAAAUUUAUUAAUAUUCUAUUAUAAUAUAUAAAAUUUUAAAAUUAAAAUUGAUAAAUCCAAGAUAGAUUUGGAGCAAAUCCGAACCUUUAUUUUAAAUUUGAACUUAAAUAUACAGUAAAAAUCAUAAAUCUAUAAUGAAUUUAGAGUAAAUACAAAUCUCAAUUUUUAUUAUUAAUCAAGAAUUAGAACAGAAUAGAUCCAGCUGAUAUAUAUGUCCCAUUGUCAUCCCUGUGACUGAUGAAAAGAUAUAGGAAAAUAAACAGGAGUUUAAUAAGCUAGACAAUAAAAGAAUCAUAUAUAGCAAUGAUUGAUUCUUUCUUCCUAUCCUUAUGAAAUCUUUCUCAAUGUCUUUUCUACGAAAUCUUUUUUAAUGUCCUUUUCGAAAAUAUCACCCUUCAGCCAAUGACUUUGAGCUGAAGGCUGGUAUUUCAAUUCAUGAACCAACCGAACAAAAAUCGUUUGUCAACAAUAUGGAUCAGCAGCCAGAAGCUACAAUUUAUCAUUAUUAAAUAGGUGAUCAUGCUUGCAACCAGGCGCAGGACAGAGUCUCUGACCAUAUUUAAAUGUUGUAGAAGCGUAGCCAUAUAUAUGAAACGUUUCACUUUGUUUUCGUAUGUUAUCAAAGGCUCAGUUUUAAAAGUAAUAUUGUAAUAAGUAUUGAAGUGUCCCAUGCAAUAAAAUCGAAGUGUCCCAUGCAACAAAAUCAUGUCAUGCGUCUUAAAUUUAUUUUGCCCUCUUAUUUAUCCUAGAUGGUAAAUACUGUUAUGAUAGAUUAUUCAAAAGGUUAUAAGGGGAGAAGAUAAGUUUAUUUUUUUUUGGGGAAAAACAUUUCCUUGCUGAAAAAAGCAAAAAUUUACAUAAGUACUGCAAUGUCUGUGGGCGGCUCUUCCAACUGAAUAAGAUCGUUAAUCAAAGAGAGUGCUAAUUUUGCUAACUGAUAAGAAACUGUAUUACAAUUUCUAAUUUCUGAAAUGAUCCAUUCAAUCUCCUUUCUACUUGAUAAAACGCCCGUAAUUAGAUGGACAAGAUUUACUGAAUCAAAUUCCACAAUAAAAAGAGUUAAGCAUAAAUCUAUCGCCGGCUUGAUGCCUUCUAGGAUAGCUUCAGCCUCUGCAAACUCGAUGUCGCUAAGAAAAGAUUUCUUGUGGCUGAGCCAGCUAUAAAAUCUCCCUUGAAAUUUCCUAUAAUUGCACCCAAACCUGUAAUUCCAUUGGAGAUGUCAAUCGGUGCAUCAACGUUCAAGUUGUACCAAUGAUUAUCCGGUGGAAUCCAACUAACACCCUUCUUGGUUGGAGGGACUAGAAACUCUUGAAUUGGAGAGCCUUGAGCAGCAGUGUACGAAUUCAAAACAGCUUCAGCCUUGCAAAGAACACUCUUUGGGUCCAUCUUUUGAUUCUGAUAGAGCGCUAUGUUCCUAGAAUGCCAAAUAGACCAUGUAAUCAUCCCAAACGAUGGGUAGUCCUCUUUUGACAGCCAAGAUUCCAAAUUCUUUGCAAAGAGAGCAAAAUCCAUAUGAGGGUUAUUCGUUACAUAAGCAGCCAAAGUUGACAACUUCCACACCUUGAUCGCAAACUUAUAGCCAACUAACUCAUGAAAGGUACCCUCAAUAGCACUAAAACAUCGAUGACAAUUUGGAGAAUCCACUACUUUUCAUUUCAAAAGAUUAUUUGAUGUAGAGAGUAUAUUACGUAGAGCUCUCCAAAAAAAAGAUCGACUUUAGAUGGAAUGGAUAAAAGCCAAGCGGGAUACCCCAAUUAGCAUAGCCAAAUGAACUUAGAGGGGGAAUUAGGAUAAGUAAGACUAAGGGCCACUUGUAACCACUCUUAAAAGUUUACAAAUUUAUUUUGUACAAACUGAUUUGACAUUAACUUAUUGAUUAAAUAAAAAUACAACAACAUGUUUUUAUAUUUAAAAUAUAUAUAUUCACAUAUACGAAGGUAUAUACUUGAACAAUAUGAGUAAUACAUGUGAAUUAAAAUCAUCUCCUAAUCUAAGCUCCAUUAAUUAAUUUUAAAAAAAACUUGUCACAUGUUUUUAGUAUAGUGUAUAAUUAUUGUUAUGUUUUUAUUUAUUAAUUUCCAAUUACCUGCUAUAUAUCUUACUCAACAAUGUUUUGAUCAUGAGAGAAUUUUAAUUCAAAUACAUAUGAAAAAAAAAAGAAGAAGAAAUCUGAGACCAUACUAAUAAGAGAUUUCCUUUCAUGUGAUUUUAAGAUCAAAAUUAUGAUAGUAUGCAAACUUGGUUGCGUUUAGUAUUGUUCUUUAAACGAUGUUUUUGUAUUUAUUUUAUAAUAUAGAUAUGAUUAAUAUUUGAUGAAUUUGAAAUUUUGUUUGGUAUAUAGUAUAUAGUAUGAAUUUGACCACUAAAUACUUAAUAAUUAUAUUUAUAUACAAAAUUAAAAAAAAAUAAGGAUUUCUCUACCUUACGUUUAAUGUAAGGUACAUCCCCUUACAAAUUGAGCUAUAAGUCCCACUUGAGCCCACAGCCAAUAGAGAGGUUGUACCUUACAUUAAAUGUAAGUAGAGAUGGCCAAUGGGUCGGGCGGCACAAGGCACAGCACGUGUCCGUACAACAUGGCACGACACGAGCACGUUUCGGUAGGGCACGAAGCACGGCACGGCACGCAAAAAGGCACGUAAUAAGCACGCUUCAUUGAUAGGCUAAGCACGUAGCCCGUGGGCCAAAGUAUAUCAAAAUAAAAAAUUUUAAUGAAAAAUAAAUAUAAAAUAUCAUGAUUUUAUAAAUAUCUUGAAAUUAAAUUUUUUAAUAUAUUUUUUUAGCAUAGGUUUUUUAAAAUUAAUUUAAGUCCUAGUUUAAAUAAAUAUUCUAAUUUUUUAUGUUUAUAAUUUAUUAAAUGGAUAAAUAAAUAUCAUGAUUUUAUAAAUGAUAAAUGAAAAAUUUUACGACAUUAAUAUUUCAUUUAUGAAAUCAUAACUUAGUUAAUAGUUAAUGGAGAUAUGUUUCAUUUGUGAAUGAAAUAUUUUUCAUAUUUAUGCACAAAAAAAUAAAAUUAUGAACAAAAUAUUUUUAUGAUAAAUUAAAAAUUACAUUUUCAUUCAAUGGAGUUUAUGUGCAAUUAUAAUAUUAGUAGCUCAAAUAAAAUUAGAUGUAAUUGUUAUUCUAGAAUUGUAAUUUUAUUUUCAUUAAUUAUUACUAUGAUCUAUGAAAUUAUUAUUAUUAUUGUCGUUGUUGUUGUUGUUAUUAUUAUUAUUAUUAGGCUGGUAGGGUUAAAAAAGCACGCCAGGCACGUGGACUUUUUUAGGCAUACUGGACAUGUGGACAAAGAAAAAAGGUUGGUGGGCUUUUUUUGGGCACGGCCCACGGCACGAGUUUGGACAUGUGGACAAAAAAAAAGUUGGUAUGGGUUUUUUUUAGCACGAACCACGGCACGGUACGGCACGAGUGGGCUCGUGCCGUGGGCCGUGCCGGCUCACGAGCCCGCGUGGGCUGACAUUUUGUGGGCCGUGCCGUGCUGGCCAUCAUUAAAUGUAAGGUAACAGCUCCCAAAAAAUAAAUGAAAGAGAGAGGCAACAUAGCAUAAUACGGGGCCGGACCCACAUCUUCAUAAAACUAUGUCAUAAAAGCAGUGGUAGUUCCUAUGAACAAAGUGAAGAAUAAAGAUUUGAUGCUGUCUAAUUAUCUUCGUUAACAUUGUAAAAUAGAUAUGGUUUGCUUUCAUAAUAAUAAAAAAUGUUACUGUUACUGAGGCUUAUCAAACAUUUUUUUUCUAUUCUUAUAAAAUAGAAAAUGAGUGAUGAAAAACAAUACCAUACAGCCCAAAUUUUUUUCCAUUUUUACCCCUUUAAUCAUAGCCUAUCGGCCUCUCCAAUUAGUUGAAAUCUUGAUGAUUCGACCACAAGUUGUAAGAGAAAUUCUAGAAUAUAUCUAUUGUAUUAUAACUAAUUAAUGCAUGCACGACAUGCGUAAUUGAGUUUAAUACAACCACCACUUGCAUGAUAGUUUACAAAAUAAAUGCACACAUGUCAUGAUAUUAUUUGCUUGUUGUAUGGGUGACAUAGUACAACAGAUGUAUUCUAGAAUUUCUCCAAGUUGUAAAAUACCAUUUGAGUCACAUAUAUUAUUGGUAGAUGAGUAGAUCGCAUCUCCCUCAACCAACGAAUUGCAUGUCAAUGUGAAAAUUGAUUUAACUGUUUAGUCUGUUUUUCAAUGAGACGUAUUUCGUUCAAACUUUUACCUUCAAUCAAUGGGACCGAAGAAAGUAGGAAAAAAAAAAUUAAACAAAUAAAAGGUAGAACUAGUUGACAGACAAAAUUUUAUCAACAUUUUGAAACAACCAACAUUAAAAAGAAAUAAAAAAAUAAAAGAAGAGAUCUAGUAAAAGAAACAUGAGUUUAAUAAUUAAGCUAGAAAAGGAAAGAAUCUUAGUAAGCUUUUCAACAAGAUCCUUUUCAAUGUCCUUUUCGACAAAAUCUUUAUUGUCAAUAUAUUGAAAAAUGAUGGUGGUUGAGUUGUCACUAUGUAUCUCGAAUUUAAGCUUCUGAUACGGUCUUUUAAAAAUAAUUCUGGAUAUUUUAUUUUAAAUGGUAACUUUUAAUAGUGGUUAACUUGUAAACAAUUGUUGCCAAAUCAUAAACAAAAUCUUAUUGUCUCACGGAAAGAUACUGGAAAAUAAUCAUGAGUUUAAUAAGCUAGACAAUGAAAGAAUAAUAUAUACAUGUUAUAUAGUAACGAUUGAUUAUUUCUUCUUACCGCUAAGAAAUCUUUUUCUAUGCCUUUUUCGACAAAAUCUUUAAUGUUAUAUAUUGAAUAAUGAUGGUGAUUAAGUUUCCAUUAUGCAUCUCUCAUGUAAGCCUCAGUCCCUAGAAUUAACUAGCUCUCAGGAUUCCUGCAUCAGUUAACUACAGCUUCCAGGUUUAUCAAUAAUUAUGGUACACCAUCCUCCAAUAUCUGUGCAUAUAUAAUUUUUUAAACAGGAAUUUUGGAGUUUGGAUCAUAUUAAAAUAAAGGAUAAAUUAAAAAAUAAGACAAACACAUACUCUAACAUAUUUUAUUUUAUCAUGUAAUAUAUUGAAUUUCAUAUUUUUCUGUCUUUUUAGCUUGUUAUAACGAUCCUUUAUAAGAAAUUAAAUGUAUCUUGAUUCUCUCCCACACUAACUUUAGAAGAGAAAAUUAUUUAAUUUGCUUUAUUCUUUUACUACUACUGCGUCAAAAUAACCAACAAUUGACGACAACAAUUAUUGAAUAUGUAACAAAUUUACAUACAUUUUGACGACAUCUUUACUUGUUUGUGUUGGCAUCCUUAUUGGCAAAUUACAACAUCGUUCAGUCUUCUUAUAAUUAAGCAAUUGUCUAUGUAACAUAAAUUAUGUAUUAAGAACAUCAAUAUGGCGUGGAGCAUUGCGCAUAGAAGAGAAGAAGUAAAGUCUUAGGCGUCUACUCCAUGUGGGAAACAUGGGAUUAUCACAAAGAGAGAUUUAAAGAUUAUAACAAAAGAGAGAUUUUAACUAACUUGUUAUGGAGGGAUGAGAUAACGAUCAAGUUGGCAUAAUCUGUAGAGAUAACGACGAGUUUGGAAUAAUCAUGUGGUGAUAAUAUUAUGAUAUUCUGCCUUUUGAUCAACUGAGCACGCUCCCUCUCACAACACAACUCUCUUCAUAAGAAUUGGCCAACAUGGAUUGUCACUUUUCAUGUUAAUUUGAUAUUACCUUGAAUGGCAUAUUAAUUUGAUUUGAAAAAAUGGAACGAGAGUAGAGGAAAAAAGGAGAAUGAAAAGAAAUAAGAAAAAAAAUGAUGAAUUUCAUAUAAAAUCAAAUAAUGAAAUAAUAAAAUUGAGGUCGAUUCUCUUUUUUUUCUCUUUUUUCUCUAAUAAAAAUAUAUCAGAUUAAUGACAAAGUAUUGAUAUUUGAUCCCCUCAGUUUCUCUUAUUAUCUCCCACUUCUCUCAUUUUAAUUUGAAAAGUCAAAAAUACCUACCAAAAUAAUUUUAAGUUUUAAAUUUUACCCUUUCUUCUUUCUCUCCUCUCUCUUAUUCUCCCGACUUCCCUUCAUCUUCGUUUUCUUUAAAAAUUGAAGAUUAGUACACUUUCCUUCAUUUUUUGAUCUUUCUGUAUCGAUGAGAGCAAUAAUUGACAUCAUCAAACAAUCCUUUUCUACCCAAAUCAUGAUUAUAAACAAAAGUAAAAAAUAGCAAUAUCAUGAUAUGGAAUCUUGAUCAUAUCUCAUGAUCCCUCUUCAGCUUCUAUGUUAAUCAAAAAGAAAAAAAUAUAAUCGAUUAAAGAUUAAAUUUAAAUUUUAAAAUGUUGUCCUUUUUUUGGGGGGGGGGGGGGGGGGGGAUAAAAAAGAGUUUGAGAUCAAGAUGACAGUGUUGCAUAAAUAAUUAUUAUUAUAAUAAUUAAAGAAACGGCUUGCAUGUCCACUUAUUGCUAAGAAGAGAAGUGGUUCGCGCCGGCCAGUUCCAAGAAGACAAGUGGUGGGUGUCAGUGCAUGGUUAGUAAUUAUUGGGGACUAGAACUGAUUGCCAAGAGUGAGGGUGCAUUUAAUAUUGAGGUUGAGUAACUUUUAAGAUACUGUACUAAAGUGUUUGGUAAACACUAAUUACGGUAGCUUGGAAACUAUGGUGGUAUUUGUUUUUUAACUUAAUGACUUAAAGUGACUUAACUUAAUUAAUUAAGUUAAUUAGAGGUGUUUGUUUUUAUAACUUAAUGAGACUUUUUAGAUAAUUUUGACUUAAUAAAAUAAGCUAAUUUUUUUGGCUUUUUACUUAAUGGAGAAAUCUGAAUUAAGUUAAUUACUUGCUAAUGUCAAAAAUAUCUCUGUUUUAUAAUUUAUUUUUUAUGUCUAUCCCAAAACUCACCCAUAAAUAUUUACCCCACAUAAAAAUAUCCCUGUUUUUUCUUUCUUAUAUUAUAUACGAUAAAAUUUGAAAUUUAUGGUAUUUUAUAUAUUAAAAUUCUAAAAUAAUUAUGUAUUCACUUGAAUAUAGUUUUGCUUAUAAAUGUUAAAAUAUUAUGGUAUUUAAUAUAUUAUUUAUUUGACAUUCAAAUUUAAUAAGGCUACAAAUGUAAAAGUACAUAUUUUCAGCUUUUUAAGUUGAAAAAAACAAACAGCUUAAUACUUAUUUUCCGAGAUUCAUACGAAAAAACAAACAUAUUAUUCAGAUUCAGACAUUCAGAUCUAUUAAGAAUUCAGACUAAUUCAGGUUUAUUCAGAUUUUAGAUAAAAAAAACAAACGCCACCUAUGUUAAUAUGAUUUUUUUCUUAUAUAAUAAAAAAUUUAUUAUAUCUUUAAUAAUUUUGUCAAAAUUAUUAUUUAAAAUUUAUAUAUACUAUAUAUUAUUAAUUUUUGUUUCAUAUUUACAGUUUUUUUUCCAUAGCAGUUAUAACUUAAAAGGUAUAGCACCUCAAUUUCAAACAGGACCUGAAUCUUGUUCAACAAGCAACAGAUUUAGCACCGAUGAGAGAAGAACAAAUAUUAAUUUUAUUUUUUUUAAUGAGGGCAAUUCUGAAUAUAAUUAUAACUAGUAAAAUGGGAGCUAACGAGAUAAAUUGAGAGGUUUAAUAUCUUUACUCUUAAUGAUAAAAAUAACCACAUCGAAGUGCACUGUUAAAUAAAUAAGUGCCAUCACUAUUUAUGCAAUUUACAUGAUAUUAUGAUUAAUCUUGCAUAUGAUUAUUUAUUAAUAAAAAAUAUGUAACAUGUGCUAGCACAUACUAUUUUCCUCUAAAUUUCUUAUACCACAUUUUUUCCUAUAAAUAGAAAGAGGCACACGUCUUCCACGCAAAUCACACAAGUAAGACUUAGUAUAAUUAGAAACAUGAAUCUCAAAGCUUUCUUUGUUCUCUCCGCAGUGCUCUCUUUGCUUCUCUUGGUAUAUAUGCAUCUCUUUUUUAGGAAAAUUUAACAUAAAGGAUACCUAAUUAAGUUAGUUUUGAUGAGAUUCUCUUUAUCAUUUGUUUGAUCUAAUUUUUUUUUUUUCCUCUUGUUCAGUUUGCUAACAGAACAGAGGCCAGAAAAGAUCAGGGAGAAUAUUGGAGAGGCUUCGUCAAAGAUAGCGACGUGCCAGAAUCAAUUCAAAUUCAUGUUCGCCAGGAUCCUGUCUCAACUGCCUCUGAUGCCAAAGCCCACUGCAAAGAACCUGAAGAUUUAGAGCACAAGAGAGAAAAGACUUAUGUCAAGGAUUCUGACGCAACGAUUGAUAUCUUAGUUUAUCACAACAGUAUUAAACCAACUGAACAAAAGUUAUUUGGCAACCACUUCGAAAGCCCGGAUGCUACAAUUUACCACAAUGACAUUAAACCAACAGAACAGAAGUUAUUUGGCAACCACUUCGAGUCAAGCCCGGAUGCUACAAUUUACCACAAUGACAUUAAACCAACAGAACAGAAGUUAUUUACCAACCACUUCGAGUCAAGCCCGGAUGCUACAAUUUACCACAAUGAUAUUAAACCAACAGUACAGAAGUUAUUUGCCAACCACUUCGUGUCAAGCCCGGAUGCUACAAUUUACCACAACGAUAUUAAACCAAUUGAAAUGAUUAAAUCUUUUGUUAGCAAAUUCUUGUCAAACCCUGAUGCUACAAUUUAUCAUGAGUAACCAGACUCUGCUUUCAAUCGUGUGGAGAGAGCCCGUUAUCCAUCUGUAAUAUUUGUGCGUACGUGUGAUGCUCUCUUUCUAUAAAUAAGUUAUGAGGAGUGCGGUUGUUUAAUGCUCUAAGGCACAAGCUUUGUAAGAAAGUGUGUUUUUAUUGUAAAAUUGAAUAAAAAUUUGUGCCAAGUUAAUUAAUUAUCCCUUUUCUAGUGAUUUUUUUUUUUCUAAUGCUUUGAUUAUUUCCACAAAAUCUUUUCGUAAGGAAAGGGCCUAGCUACUUGAAUCAAUUUUCUCCAUUUCAACGUUAUUAGUAUAAUAAUAAUACAAAAAAUCAUUAAUCUCAGUAAUUGAUAAACAAUAUUCUUUGCUAUUAUAUUGAGAAUUAAUUCCUAAUCUGAGAAAAUAAAUUAACAAUUAAAAAAUAAUAAAAGAUCGUGAACUACUUAGAUUUAUGGCCCUCUCACAUGUCGAUGGUACUUUACAUAAUUAGAAGCCUUUUUAUUAAUUUUAACAGACACCAUUCAAUCAACUUUGGUGACAUACUGAUAAUUGAUGCAAAAUUCUAUUUGGGGAAAAAAAAGUAAAAGAAAGAACUCCUAUUUUAGCUCUUAAAUCUUAAUUUUUCAAAUUUUAGAAGGAUUAAUGAUCAACAUUAUUUAGCCUAUUUUAUUUAAUUUAUAACUAUAGAAAUCCUAAAGCUGAUGGAGUAUACUUAAUACCUUAUUUUCCCCAAUCACAACCGUCUAAAUUCCUGAAACAUUUCAUUUCUUAAAUUUCAACGGUACAGAUUAAUUCUCUUACGAAAACUCAGCGACUUAUCCUGGACCGCCGCUACUAAAAUACAUAAGAGUAAAAUACUAUAGUAUUCCGGGACAAAUUUAUUUCUUCCACGACGCAAUAAAAUGCUGCGUCCAAUAACAUUCUGUUUCCUAAAGCUUACCCAAAUCGCAGAUAGGAACAUGGUUUGCAAUAAUUUUUCUAACAGAUCCUGCCAUCAAAUUCGUUAAAAACUGGUUUAAUUUUUAUUAAAUAAUUUUAAGUAAAUUGAAUAAGAUAAAAAAUUUAAAAAGUUAUUAUUUUAUAAUGAAAAAGCUAGAUCAUCCAUACGUAAUAAAAAAUAGUACGCAUUCACAACUUAAUGCAAUAUAAUCUAGACAACCAAAUAUAUUUUAUGUAUUUUUUACAAAUUGCUUUUAGUAUAAGCAAAUAAGGUGGUUGUCUAAACAUUCAUAUUUUUGGAAGGUCUCAAUUUUUAAUAUUUUCUUAAUAAUUUUCUAAUUAAUAAAGAUAUUUUUUUAACUUAUGUAUUGUAGAAAAACCUAUUAGACAUUUUUAUUAUUAACAACUAUACUACAAUUAAGAGUCUUUUUUGUAUAGAAAAUCAAUAUUUGUAACCUUAUUGAUAAAGAGAAAUGAUUAAUAAUAUUUUUAACCAUUAAUUCAUUCAUUAUUAGUUUUCUCAAGAAAAAAAGUUAAAUUCUUUACCUUUUCAUUUUCCUAAAAAAAACUUGAUUAUUUAACAUUGAAAUCUUUGACUUUUAUUAUUCCUUUAGUUUCUAUUAGAACCUUAUAAUAUAAAAAAUCAAUAGAUAAAAAAAAUUUGUUCCUCCUUUCUUUACGAAGAAAAUUAUUAUAUUUAUUGGUUAAUUUAAAAAAGAAAAAUUAGUUUCUUGAAGUAUGAAGACCAUAUCUAUUAUCUGAUAAUCAAUUCAUGAUCUCGACUUUCUAGCUAUAUUCUGUCAUUCUAAAUAUUUUAUUUGAAAAUAAUAUUGUUUUUAUUUAUUUGUUUGUUUGCUUUUUAAGAGUUCUGAUGGAAGUAAAAAAAACAAAUCUUUUUUACUAAUUUUUUAGGUUUUUUUUAAAAGAUUUUUUAAGAUAUUUUUUUAUUACUGUUAAAAUUUAAGAAUUAAAGAUAGAAUGAAUUUUUGAGUCUUUUCAUAUUUCUUUGAGUAUUGAAAUUACAAAAUAAAAUAUGGCCUUACAAAAAAAAAAUUCGCCUAAGACCCCAUAUACUCUAAUGCCGACUCUGGGUGAAAUUAUUGAUUUUAUUAAUAAUAAUAUGAUGUAUACUAACCAAUGUACAAAACAGUAGUGGGUGACAUAAAUUAGAAUUGUGUUGCAAAAACAAGAGGUUUGAGUGAAAAAGAAUUUACAAACUCACAUUACAAUGUUAUAUAGUUGCCAUAUGUCUCACAUUUUCAAAUGAACAAAAUAUAAUAAAUACAGUAUAAUCUUUAUAACUGAAUAUUCAAUAGAUUAAUAAUCUCUACUGUGUAAUAAUUUUUUAUGGUCAUGACUUAGGCCAAUAGGUUAAAUUAAUAAUUGCAAUAAAUUAAUAAGAUGAUAUUUUUUAUGAAAACCCUUAUAUAACUAUGUGGCUCCAUUCAUAUCAAAAUUAAUAAUUUUUUAAAAUUAUAAAUAUAAUUGACAAUAAUUUUUUAUUUAUUAAAAUGUGAGUCGAUUAUUAUCUUGUUCCCUUAUUACUUCUUUUCCUUGAAAUAUAAAUCUAUUUGAAUCUCGUAUCUAAUUUUUCUUAUUACAUCUAAAAGUUUUGGGAUUGAAUUCUUGAAUUAUAAUAAAAAAAAAUUAUGAAGUGCUUUCGUACACAUAACUGGCUCCAAAGCAAUUGUAUCAUUCUCAACUUUUAUCAUCGACAUGAUUUUAAGUGAUGUCAGCAGUGGUUUAAUUUAUUCUAAACUUAAAAUCUCUCAACUUACAUCAUUUUUAUUAUGAUAAUCCAAGAGGUAAUUAAGUAGAUAAAUACAAUACAGUUAUUGUUUUGGUUUAUCUAAUAUCUAUUUAGUAGAUUAAUUCAUAUUCAAUAAAUUAGAUUAGUAAAAUAUAACGAAAUUUUAGUUAAUUAAAUGUACGUUUAUUGAACUAUAAAUGAACUCUAGAAAUUAAUAAAUUAUUAAUUUACUAAUUACAUAAUAAUUCUUUUAAUUAAUAAAAUUUAAAUAGUCCCAAUGUUAUUAAUUCAUAGAAGUUAUAUGAAAUAUGUGUCAACUAUAUAAUAUCGUAGUUUGUAAACAAAACAUAACUCUUUUGUUAAUUGAAUACUAACGUAAUGCUAUAGAAAUAACAUAUGUGACCAAUUUGCAUAAAUGUAUACUCUCUGUAUCUUAUUACAAAUGCUUUAUAAAUCAGUGACUCAGAUGUUAUUAUCUAAACUCGUGGAAGCAUUACUUUUGUCCCUGCCAAUAUCAUUCAGAUAAAUAGUUGUUGUGCGUUCAGAUUCACCAGGAAUGCUUACGCAAAACAUAGACUGAACCCAAGAGCUUCGAAACUCGAAACUGAACCAAAUCAUUCUAAUGGAAGAGAAACGCCGGGAAGCCAGAGCGCAACCGGCGGCUACGAGCUCGGCCGCAGCUGGAGCCGAGUCAGCGGCAUCCGAGCCGGCUUCGCUCGGCGCCGAGCCGGAGCGCACAAAAGGAAAGCCUCGGCGCUCUCAGCGACUAACGCUUCAUCCACGCCGUCGAAGCGCAUGACUCGCGAGAAGAAUUUAGUUGCUCACACUCCGAUCUACAACCAUAACGUUACAUCUUGACAUUUGUAGUAAGAACGUGAGAGGAUACCUGGAGUGUAUUGGGAUUUGGGCGGAAGAGAAAGGAGCCCUUGGAAUUGGGAAACAAAUGAAAUUAUCUGCAUGGUCCUUGUACUCGUGGAGGGACUGUAACUUCUGAACCAACAAUGCUGAAAAUGCAGGGUCAAAAAUCAACAUUAACUUGAUGAAUAAUUGUUUGAAAAAAAAAAAAAGCAAGAAAACUUGAUUAAUAUAAAAGAGAGCAAAGGAGCACAACCAUACAGAAGUUGUAUAAAGGAAUAUUAAUCAAGCUUGAUUAAUAUUCUUCUUCUAUCCAACACCACAAGAUGAAACACAGUAUUCCUGUUGCAGUAUAUGGUGAGAACUGUGAAGUGCAGGAAGUAGUUUCCUAAGAGAGAUGAUUGAAUGCUCUUAAUUUUUUUUUUCAGAAAAUCAUUUUAUUUUUAAUAAAAGUUUAAUUUUUUUUAAUAAAAAUUUUUAUUUAUUUUUUAUUAAGUUGUGUCUCAUAUUUACUAAUAAAGGAAGUUAUUUGGGUAUAUAAGUAGGAUGUCUCAUCUAACAUGCUAGUAGGAUAAAUCUCUCAUCUAAUAUGCUAGUAUUUUGGGUUAAAUACCUAUAAAUUCUAAGCCGAGUCCACAACAGUCCCCAAAAUAACUGGAUUUAAGUCCUAGCUACACCAGUAGAUUGAAUAGAAGUGCAAAUAAGUUUAACUUUUUUGUCAUUCAUUUUAGUCUUUUUUUUUUUUUUUUUUCACAUACAUUGAAAAAGGAUAACUCUGUCGUGAUUGCCAUGGCAGAGCCUAUUUCAAACGAUGGUGUAUGCUAAAGGAAAUUAUCAUGAGAUGAGUGAUAAACCAUACAAUCAGUAGCUACAGCCCACGAUUAAUCAGCCACAUGGCCACAAAUAUUAUUGGCGGCAAAUAUAUCAACAAAAUCACAAUAAAGAUGAGCAUCCUCGAUUCCAUUCCUUAAUGUAAAUAGGACAGCCUGUCUAGCCAUUACUUUAAGAGAUUUGGCUGGCUUUGACACUUGUAUAUAAGCUUGUAACCCUCUCAUUCUUUACAAGAAAUAAGAUAAUAUUUUCAGCUUAAUAAUUCUUUUCAGUGAGAUCAAAGAAAUGUAAAGAGAUAUAGUCACUACUACAAAAAUGUAAAACAAUGACCCAUAUGUUAUGACGGUUCUUCUAAACAACCGUCAUUAAAGAUAUUUAAUGACGGUUAUUAUGUGAACAGUCAUAAUAUAUACCACUUAUAAUGACGGUUAUGUAAUAAAACCGUCAUUAAAUGUCAAAUAAAAUUUACACUUAGUUUUAAUGACGGUUCAUUUAUAAAAACCGUCAUUAAAAGUCACUAUUUUUAAUGACGGUUCUUAUAUACAACGGUCAUUAUAUGUGUAGUUAAAAAUAAUAUUACUUUUAAUGACGGUUUUUUAAUAACCGUCAUUAAAAAUAAUAAUUUUUAAUCACGGUUUUUACAUAUAACGGUCAUUAUAUGUGUAAUUAAAAUAGUACUACCUUUAAUGACGGUUUUAAAAAAACCGUCAUUAAUAAUUUUUAAUGACGAUUUUUACAUUAAACGGUCAUUAUAUGUGUAAUUAAAAUAAUACUACCUUUAAUGACGGUUUUGUUAAGAACCGUCAUUAAAAAUAAAUUUAUUUUUAAUGACGGUUCUUAACAAAACCGUCAUUAAAAAUCAUACUUUUUAAUGACCGUUAUAUAUUAUAACGGUCAUUAUAUAUAUAAUUAAAAUGCUUUUAAUUUUAAUGACGGUUCUUUAAGAACCGUCAUUAAAAAUUGACAUUUUUAGUGACAGUUGUAUAAAACAACCGUCAUCGUAUAUAUUGAUAUAGUUAUAAAAAAAAAAAAAAAAUUGGCCUUAUACUGAACACCAAAUCCCUAAAAUUACAGAUAAUUUGUAAACAUUAAAAGUAAUGGCGCAAGCACGCACGCCGCCGGUACACUUAGCCCAUGCAGCAGCAACCGAGCACGGUAGCAACAGGCCACCAGCAGUCGCUCUCUCUCUCACGCACACGCAGCAGCAAGCCAACACCAAUAGCCCCUCUUUCUCAUGCUCACUCUCUACUAUGCCCUCUUACGUACUCAAGAAAACUCUAACCCAUAUCCAAACCCUCGCCGUCGAAGAAAACCCAAUCCUUAAUGGCUUGAAAUUAAAGCCUCCACCGUCAAUCACCAUCGAACCAAAUAAACUCUAGCCUUACCAUCACUCUUCGUUUGACUCGCUGAAGAAAGCACUCUAUUAGGUGAGUCUCUGUUGUUUGAUAAUAUAUCUGCACUCUUUGUUGGCCGAAGCUUUUAGACAAUUGCUUUGAUUCAAUUGCUUCGAUUGGUUAGUUCUCUGUGAUUAAUUAGUUAGUUACUUUUAAUUUCAUAUUUUCAUCUCUAACAGUGAAUUUGGGAGUCGAUUUCUCUGUCGGAUUUGUAAUUUUUGCUACAGAUCAAAAACAUCUUGAAGGUGUUUUCAUAUCUAACAACUUGAACUAUCAUUUAUUUUGUCUUGUUAAUGUUCAAUUUUUUUUUCUUUUUUUAUUAGUAUGACAAUUAGUCGAAUGUGCUUGCACAUAAAACAAUCUUUUAACUUGGCGUUGGAAUAUUUGUUUUGAGUUGUGUCCCCUUAAUCAAUGACCAUACAAAAGUUCCCCAUGAUAAAGUGUUUAGCCCUAUUAAUGCCAUAAAGUCUUGCUCUCAAUUUUUCUGAUUAUGCCUAUGGAUUGAUUACCUAUUUCAUUUACAAAUUCAAUUGGCAAAUGUACAAUGCCUGCAUGACACUCACAUUUGGGUUAUGAUGGUAGUCAUUAUGAGGAAGAAUGUUAGAAUAACAUCAGGGGAAACAUCUGGGAGAAGGUAUGUACUGUCAAGCUCUUUGUUAGAAUCAUCACGAAAUUUAUAUUGGAUCUUGGCUGUUCUAUGUGAUGCAUUUUGGAUUUGCUCUUACUAGACAUGCAAAAACCUGUAAAAUGUAUUUUUUUUUUCCAUUUUAGAUUUACUAUCUAGUAUCUUGUAGGUUUAAUCUAAAAUAGAAACCAUUGAGGAUACUGGACACAAUUCUAAUGAAGAGAAAAGAUGUUAGACUUUAGUAUUCAACCUUUUUUUUUUAGCCAUAUUUCUAGACCCCAAGUUUAUGUCAUGAUAAUUGUGUGAUUGAUAAGAUAUUUUGGUUUUGGACUUUAUCUCAUGGAUUUAGAGUUCGAUUAUAUUUGGAAGUGGAAUAAUGCAUUCAUUUACAUAUGAUGUUUGAUGAAGUUCCCAUAAAAUUAAUUCAAUUAUAUAUGUUUAUGGUUCUAAGGAAGCGGGGCAAAAAUUUUAUCAGUGGGUUGAUUUCACUAGUUUAAGUUAGUAAAGCAAAGAAAUUGUCUUUAUGCACUUUAACUUUCCUCCAUUUAAGGUGAAAAAAUUAUUGAAGCUUUUAGAAGUGAAUUGUUCAUUUUGUUUGUGCACUUAUGCAGAUGGAUUUACUUUUGGCUGCUUAACCCUUCCUCACUUAUAUUUUUUCAGUUUAAAUUGCAGUGUUUUGCUGCUGUGCAACAGCACAAGAGGCUGUUUUAUUGUUGUUUCUGUAAAAACACAGCACCAGGAAGCGUCCAGGUAAUGUUUCGCUGCUGUUAUGCAGUAAAAACAACACCUGAAAGUUUCUAGGUGCUAUUUUUACUGCUGUUUACGCAGAAACACAGCACCUAAAAGUGUCUCUAGGUUCUGUUUAGCUGCUAUUAUGCAGCAAAAACAGCACCUGGAAACUUCCAAGUGCUGUUUUUAUUGCAUUUUAUGCAGAAACAAAGCACCUAGAAGCAUUCAAGGGUUGCUUUACUGUUGUUUUGUAUUUAAAAUUGCUGUUAGAAAUUUUGGGUGCUAUUUCUCUGAAAUUUUGCUAUUAACAGUGCAGCUUAAUAAUUUCAUAUGUCGUUUUGAACCUUCUUCAGUUCUUUUCUCUUAUGUCUAUACUUAAUCUUUUCCCCCCUGGUAAUAAGCAGGUACAAUUUUUGCAAGGUAAUAUCUAAGCAUGCUGUUAAUUCUUUGGUUGAGACGUAGUAUUCUAAACUUCAGGCCUUAAUUUUUUUAUUUCCAAGUGUAUAAUGGGUAGGUACUGGAUCUCUUAUGGAUGAUGUAGUUAAUGCUUUUUUAUUGUCUCUAUUUUGGCAAAUGUGUUGUCAUUUAUUAUCUGAACACAUGGUUGAUUAACUUACUUGAGGUAAGUCUAUUAAUUAAUAGUGAUAUGAUACUUUAAAGUCUUGUUUUACAACUUAAGUCACUAAAAUGAUUUAAUAUUUAUGAUUUAUAAUAUAUGAAUAUAUCUUAAUUUCUCUUUAUUCUUUGUAAGAAUGAUGUAGAUUGCUGAAGCUGGUGAGAUUCAUUUGCAAUUGAAGACUUGAUGAGAAAUUAGAUGUACUCACACAUGCCAAUCUUGUUGGUUGCUAGUGCAUUCACUAGUAGAAGUUUAAUGAUUGUUGGAGAUUUUUGUAGAGCUAUCUCUUUGUAAAUGAAACAUUUGCAUCAUUUUGAAUAUGAAACAUUUGUGAAAAAUAAUUGUAAAGAAUUUAAUAUGAAAUUAGAAUUAAAAUAGGGGCUUGAAAUAGCCUUAAAUUUGCCAAAUUUAUUUUUUUAAUAAUAAAUAACAAAGAUGACGGUUAUUUCAAAAGAACCGUCAUCAAAUGUAGUGUUCUAUAACAAAUAUGACGGUUUUCUUCUAAAACCGUCAUUAAAUGUUGUUUCAAUAUUUAAUGACGGUUCUUACAAUAAACCGUCAUUAAAAUGACACAUUUAAUGACGAUUAUUUAGAUAAACCGUCAUUAAAGAUAGAUAUUUAAUGACGGUUCUUACAAUAAACCGUCAUUAAAAUGACACAUUUAAUGACGGUUAUUUAAAUAACCGUAAUUAAAAAUAUACAUUUAAUGACGGUUAGUGAACCGUCAUAAAAAACAUACCCUCUUUAAUGUCGGUGCCUAAGAUGACGGUUUUAAAACCGUCAUCUUAUGUCGUUUAAAACCGUCAUAAAAGACCAAUUUUGUAGUAGUGAGUCUAUUAGGUUGGCAAAUCUACUGAAACAAUAUUGUUUCCUAUCAACUCCGAAAUACAACCAAUUGAACAACGUUCAGAAAUCGAAAAUCAUUUAUUACCAGUAAGAUUUAUUAUUAUACGCUAUACAUAUGGCUUUAACAGUCACAUUACCAAUACAUUUUUAAUCAUGGUAGGUAGGUGCUGGAAUGUAUACAAUAUUAUCAGCCUGGAAGAAAUGGCAGACAUGGGAGCUCCCUGGCUCGAUCCCAAGCACACGAAACGAUGCAUGAUCUCGACUCCAAUGAGACGUAUCCAUGUGGCAAACUGCUACAGCUUCCACUCUAUCUCCAUUAUCACCACCUAAUGAAACACCGAAUAACUUGUUCUCAGUCAUUUGGCUGUGGCAGUAGAAGAUUGCAUAAGGGUAAGGCAUGAUAUGACAUGCCACCAUCUUGGGAGCAACCAUUGGUUUAGGCACUUGUAAAAUAGUGUAAUUUUGGAAAAUGGUAGCUGAUUUUGUGAGAAAUUUUGUGCUUAGAACUUCGAAUUUGGUCUCCAAUCCGAAAGUUCCGUGUACAAAAUCAAGCAUGGAUUCCAAAGAGGUAGCACAAAUUUUGGUUUCUCCUUCGAUGGGAGGAACUUCGCAAUGAUUCAGGGUCCCUUCCAUGGCUUUGGCUAGGGGUGAGUCAUCUGAGAACGAGAAGAAUUGAAGAAGGUAAGGCAGUUGUUUCAAUGAAAAUGGAAUGGAAUCUGCUUCUUCUCUAGGCAAAGCCUGAGGAUAAGCUGAAGGAUCUCUCUUGCGAAAAAUAAAUCGGCAUCGUUUCGCCAAUCUUUAGAUCCUUCAAG